UACGGAGGGUGCAAGCGUUGUCCGGAAUCACUGGGCGUAAAGGGCGCGUAGGCGGCUCAUGAAGGCUGUGGUGAAAGUCCGGGCUCAACCUCGGAUCGGCCGUGGCGACUCGUGGGCUGGAGCACUGUAGAGGCGGGUGGAAUUCCGGGUGUAGCGGUGGAAUGCGUAGAGAUCCGGAAGACACCGAGGCGGCAGGAGGCCGGACCGGCC
rnacentral:rRNA from 1 species